UACGUAGGGAGCAAGCGUUGUCCGGAAUCAUUGGGCGUAAAGCGCGCGUAGGUGGCUUCAUAAGUCCGUUGUGAAAGUCAAAGGCUCAACCUUUGAAAGCCGAUGGAUACUGUGAAGCUAGAGUACGGAAGAGGCGAGCGGAAUUCCUGGUGUAGCGGUGGAAUGCGCAGAUAUCAGGAGGAACACCAAUAGCGAAGGCAGCUCGCUGGGACGUUACUGACACUGAGGCGCGAAAGCGUGGGGAGCGAACAGG
rnacentral:rRNA from 1 species